rnacentral:rRNA from 1 species
AGAGUUUGAUCAUGGCUCAGGAUGAACGCUGGCGGUAUGCUUUACACAUGCAAGUCGUACGAGAGUUUUGAACUCAAGUGGCGGACGGGUGAGUAACACGUAAGAAUUUACCUUUAGGAGGGGGACAACAACUGGAAACGGUUGCUAAUACCCCAUAUGCUUUCGAGUGAAAUGGAUUUCCGCCUAAAGAGAAGCUUGCGGCUGAUUAGCUUGUUGGUAAGGUAAUGGCUUACCAAGGCGACGAUCAGUAUCUGGUUUGAGAGGACGAUCAGACACACUGGAACUGAGACACGGUCCAGACUCCUACGGGAGGCAGCAGUGGGGAAUUUUCCGCAAUGGGCGAAAGCCUGACGGAGCAAUACCGCGUGAGGGAUGACGGCCUAUGGGUUGUAAACCUCUUUUUUCAGGGAGGAACAAAAUGACGUGUACCUGAAGAAUAAGCAUCGGCUAACUCCGUGCCAGCAGCCGCGGUAAGACGGAGGAUGCAAGUGUUAUCCGGAAUCACUGGGCGUAAAGCGUCUGUAGGUGGUCAAAUAAGUCAACUGUUAAAUCUUGAGGCUCAACCUCAAAAUCGCAGUCGAAACUAUUCGACUUGAGUAUAGUAGGGGUAAAGGGAAUUUCCAGUGGAGCGGUGAAAUGCGUAGAGAUUGGAAAGAACACCGAUGGCGAAGGCACUUUACUGGGCUAUUACUAACACUCAGAGACGAAAGCUAGGGUAGCAAAUGGGAUUAGAUACCCCAGUAGUCCUAGCUGUAAACAAU